rnacentral:rRNA from 1 species
CCUACGGGAGGCAGCAGUGAGGAAUAUUGGUCAAUGGGCGAGAGCCUGAACCAGCCAAGUCGCGUGAAGGAUGACGGCCCUACGGGGUGUAAACUUCUUUUGUCAGGGAGCAAUUGGGUCCACGCGUGGGCUUAGCGAGAGUACCUGAAGAAAAAGCAUCGGCUAACUCCGUGCCAGCAGCCGCGGUAAUACGGGAGAUGCGAGCGUUACCCGGAUAUAUUGGGUUUAAAGGGUGUGUGGGCGGAAUAUCAAGUCAGCGGUAAAAAUUCGGGUCACAACCCUGUCGUGCCGUUGAAACUGAUUUUCUGGAGUGGGCAAGACGUAUGAGGAAUGCGUGGUGUAGCGGUGAAAUGCAUAGAUAUCACGCAGAACUCCGAUUGCGAAGGCAGCAUACCGGUGCCCAACUGACGCUGAAGCACGAAAGCGUGGGUAUCGAACAGGAUUAGAUACCCCAGUAGUC